GAAAGUGGCGCACGGGUGAGUAACGCGUGGGAACCUACCCUGGGGUAGGGAAUAACCGCUGGAAACGGCGGCUAAUACCCUAUACGUCCUGAGGGAGAAAGAUUUAUCGCCCUGGGAUGGGCCCGCGUUAGAUUAGGUAGUUGGUGGGGUAAAGGCCUACCAAGCCUACGAUCUAUAGCUGGUCUGAGAGGAUGAUCAGCCACACUGGGACUGAGACACGGCCCAGACUCCUACGGGAGGCAGCAGUGGGGAAUAUUGGACAAUGGGGGCAACCCUGAUCCAGCCAUGCCGCGUGAGUGAAGAAGGCCUUAGGGUUGUAAAGCUCUUUCAACGGUGAAGAUGAUGACGGUAGCCGUAGAAGAAGCCCCGGCUAACUCCGUGCCAGCAGCCGCGGUAAUACGGAGGGGGCAAGCGUUGUUCGGAAUUACUGGGCGUAAAGGGCGUGUAGGCGGAUAUUCAAGUUAGGGGUGAAAGGCCUGGGCUCAACCUGGGAACUGCCUUUAAACUGGAUAUCUAGAGUACGGAAGAGGGUAGCGGAAUACCCAGUGUAGAGGGUGAAAUUCGGUAGAUAUUGGGUAGAACACC
rnacentral:rRNA from 1 species